UACAGAGGUCCCAAGCGUUGUUCGGAUUCACUGGGCGUAAAGGGUGCGUAGGCGGCCGGGUAAGUCUGAUGUGAAAUCCCGCAGCUCAACUGCGGAACUGCAUCGGAUACUCUCCGGCUAGAGGAAUGGAGGGGAGACUGGAAUUCUCGGUGUAGCAGUGAAAUGCGUAGAUAUCGAGAGGAACACCAGUGGCGAAGGCGAGUCUCUGGACAUUUACUAACGCUGAGGCACGAAAGCCAGGGGAGCAAACGGG
rnacentral:rRNA from 1 species